rnacentral:rRNA from 1 species
GACGAACGCUGGCGGCGUGCUUAACACAUGCAAGUCGAACGGAAAGGCCCUGCAUUUGUGGGGUGCUCGAGUGGCGAAAGGGUGAGUAACACGUGAGUAACCUGCCCCUGACUUUGGGAUAACUUCAGGAAACUGGGGCUAAUAUCGGAUAGGAGCUCCUGCUGCAUGGUGGGGGUUGGAAAGUUUCGGCGGUUGGGGAUGGACACGCGGCUUAUCAGCUUGUUGGUGGGGUAGUGGCUUACCAAGGCAUUGACGGGUAGCCGGCCUGAGAGGGUGACCGGCCACAUUGGGACUGGGAUGCGGCCCGGACUCCUACGGGAGGCAGCAGUGAGGAAUAGUGCACGAUGGGCGGAAGCCUGAUGCAGCAACGCCGCGUGCGGGAUGACGGCCUUCGGGUUGUAACCCGCUUUCGCCUGUGACGAAGCGUGAGUGACGGUAAUGGGUAAAGAAGCACCGGCUAACUACGUG